rnacentral:rRNA from 1 species
AUUGAACGCUGGCGGCAUGCUUUACACAUGCAAGUCGAACGGUAACAGGCCGCAAGGUGCUGACGAGUGGUGUACGGGUGCGUAAUGCAACGGAAUGUGCCCAGUCGUGGGGGAUAACUAAUAGCAAGAGUAGCUAAUGCCGCAUACGAUCUAUGGAUGAAAGCGGGGGAGCGCAAGGCCGCGCGCGAUUGUUGCGGCCGCUGUCAGAUUAGGUAGUUGGUGGGGUAAAGGCUCACCAAGCCAACGAUCUGUAGCUGAUCUGAGAGGACGACCAGCCACACUGGGACUGAGACACGGCCCAGACUCCUACGGGAGGCAGCAGUGGGGAAUUUUGGACAAUGGGCGCAAGCCUGAUCCAGCAAUGCCGCGUGCAGGAAGAAGGCCUUCGGGUUGUAAACUGCUUUUGUACGGAACGAAACGGUUCUGAUUAAUACCCGGGGCUAAUGACGGUACCGGAAGAAUAAGCACCGGCUAACUACGUG